GACGGAGGAUGCAAGUGUUAUCCGGAAUCACUGGGCGUAAAGCGUCUGUAGGUGGUCAAAUAAGUCAACUGUUAAAUCUUGAGGCUCAACCUCAAAAAUCGCAGUCGAAACUAUUGGACUCGAGUAUAGUAGGGGUAAAGGGAAUUUCCAGUGGAGCGGUGAAAUGCGUAGAGAUUGGAAAGAACACCAACGGCGAAAAGCACUCUGCUGGGCCGACACUGACACUGAGAGACGAAAGCUAGGGGGAGCGAAUGGG
rnacentral:rRNA from 1 species